AAUUAGGAUGCUUUUUCUAUAUUUUGUGGUAUAAAUAACAAAGUCACUGGCUAAUGGGAUCUUUAGAUGGACACAAUGAUCACUAGAAAAUAAUGUUGAAGUUUUAAGGGAAAGACAUCAUACAGUUAAUCUACCAAGAAACAAAAUAAAGCAGCUGUAGGACACCGUUAAUGUGUUAGAUUUUUGGUUAGCACAAAGAGUAACUCCUGUCCUUAAGCUGUAAUUUGUCCCUACAUCAGGCAUCUUGUAUCUCCAGGUAUGCCUUUCACAGAAUUAGGUGAUAAAGCAAAACUUAAUCUCUGCCUGAGCUAGUGAGAAGCCUCAACAUGGCUUUGUCUUGGUGUUUUUCCUGUCCUUUCUUUCCCUACAGCCUGAGCAAGUAGCAACUGACCAUGUCCUUUCCCCUCAUUUUAGCAAGAUGAUUUCUGCUCAUAAAUCCACCAUUUUGGGGGAUGGGAUGAACUCUCUUUUUCCUGUUCUCUUCCUAUCCCAGUCCAGGUUGGAGGACUGACUGGAGUAAAGCUUAUGAUUUGAACAGUCAACCUGGGGGAAGUACACACAAUAAAAUCCUUUCCUGGUUGAAUAGGCUUGCAGAAUGUCAACCAAUUUCCCCAGACAGCCAGGACCUUUAGGAGUCAUUCUAUAUCCUUUUAUUGCCGUUGCCAUAGUGAAAGACACUAAUUCAGCUUUGUGUGAAACUUAAUAAAAAUCAGCUCAUCAUUCACUUGUCUAUAGACCAUUAGAAAUGCUUGUGCUGAAUUUUAGAGACAGGCUAUUCAUAAUCUAUUAAUCCAAUAGUUGAAGAGUUGUUAUCUGAUUCACUUGUGCAGGAUCUUUAUAGAACACCAAAGAGUUUCUGUACUUGCUUUGACUCUAGUUGUCUGGAAAUAGGAAAAAAAGACAUGCAGUUACUGUGGUUUAAUUUAAGUGGCCAAGAUUACCUUUGGGCUAAGUGUACUUUGGUCUUCAGAGGAGAACAGAGCUGUCUGAGAAACCUCUGCAAAUUACUAAGAACACUAAAUUGAUCUGACACUAAUCAGAAAUAGUCUUUUACUGGCUAAAUUAAAGGGGCUAUUUUAUAGAUAACAAUGCCUCCAUUUGGGUUGUUAGGCAAGUUAACAAAGCAGCAUAUUGUGCAGAGCCAAAUUACAAAUGCCAGCAUGCUGUGGUUUGGUUUACCUGAGGUACGUGUUAUUGGUAGACAAAAUACAGUAUUUACACUGGAAGAGCUGCUUUCGAUUUGAAGGUGUAUUGCUACAAUGUCUGCUAUUGGGAGCCACUGAUCUUAAAACUUUAUUUCCUGGAAUUCUGUAAAACUAGCCCUAAAAAGGCAGGAGAAAAUAAACAGGAGGAAGCAAACUACUAUGAGCCGUAGAGUAUGAAUGUAGUAUUUUUUUGGUUUUUCAUUUACAUUGAAAGCUAUCUGUUCAAUGAUGUGGUUUUGCUUGCUGGAGUGUCUGAACAGUUUUAUAAUAAAUGAGUGCAUUUCUCAAAUAUAAGCUAACACAGCAGCUCUGUCUUCUGAGGUCAGACUUAAAUGAUUUCAAUCAAAGCAGUGUAUCGUACUCUGAAAAAUCUAGAUCAAAAAUACGUUUUUUGACUGACACUGAAAUGUAUUUAAAAAAAAAAAAGGCUCAAGAUACAUCUGACAUUCAUUUCUGGUUGCGAGCGCUUGACUCCGUCCAGUCUGAAAGCUUUCAUUUCAGACGCAGUUAUUGUAGGCAGGCUAAUCAAGGCGGAGGUGCCCUCGCUGGAAAGCGCCCCUGCCUUUCUCUCCGCUAGCGGCGUGGGCAGCAAGAAAGGCUGGGCCGGGGUGCCCAGCGCUGCCCUUGGCGGGGAUCCCCAUGGCAACAGGCAGCUGGUCCCUGGCCAGCCCCGCGCCCGGCCGGGCGGCAGCGGGAGCCGGCGCUCCGGGCCCCGCUGGGGAUCCCUGCAUUGUGUUCUGGGCAUAAAUGUUCUCAAUAGGAUUAGAAUGGAGAAGGGGCUAAAGGCUGUGGGAAAACCUGCGUGUGUCAUAUUUCUCUCGUCUGCUGUUGUUCCUGACCGUUUCCCCUCAGCUGACAAUAAGGUUAAAAAGUAAGAGCAAAUGUUGUGGUGGCUUGAUUUUGAAUUAUGUAUUCAUGAAUCUGCAUAAUAGCCUUUCAGGGGUGGUAUUGUUGUUUAAAGCACAAUCUGGGAAUUGUGAGAGGAGACGGGGGAGAAAGGGAUGGAGAAGCAGACAGUGAAAACAGGGAAAACUAAGACUUAAUCGGAGAGUGACAAAUUGUAUGAAAUGAGAUUUUCUUGCCUACUUGCUCUGUGCCUAAGAAACAAGUUUGCACUUGGAAAUGCUGACUUCUUUCACAAACUAAUAAUACCUCUGUUUUCUCUUUUGGCUAAGUGCUUAGACUGCUAAGAGGGAACGGAAUAACGUUACAAACACGGAUGUCUGGUCUUCUGAUUCUUGCUCAUUCAUGUGCUACCGGGUGUUCAUGUCUUUUACGCAGGAUCAUCAAUUUCAUCCAGUUGCUGUCAGCGGGUUCCAGCUGUGCCUCAGUGCAGAGAGCGCUGAAUCUCUCCAGGGAAAACCUGCGCUGACUCCUGUGGGGACGAGUCUGUUCCAUGUUCAGUCAAGAACACAGAUUCCGGCACAACCUUUCUUGUCUUGUGCACCCGCAGAAUCUCAAAUUGUCUUGGCUGUUGCACGUCUUGCUGCCUUCAUUCAAUUUUCAAUAGCACAGUAACCGCUGCUUCAGGUGGCCAGAGCCUAAAACACUGGAAGUGCUUCAAAGGAUGCAAAUCAUCACAUAGGCCUUAAUCUUCCAGGUUUUUUUAGAACUCUUCAGAGGCCUAAGUUACUUUCUUAAGUGGCAGUUAAGGUGAUGCUUAAGGUGAUACAUCAGGAAUGCAUAACAGGAAGAGGCUGAAGCUGUUAUUGCUGGGACUAAUGUCAAGAUUUCAGUGGGAACUGGUAUAGAGCUGUGUAUCAAUAACGAUUUACAGAUUGGCACCUGGGGACAAAUUCUGGCCUUUAAAUGUUUCAGUCAAUGCAUCAGCACUGCUCUUAACCACUCCAGGGCAGAGGCCUUAAGGUUUACCAGCAGGGCUUUUAAUUACCUUGAUCUAUUUUCAGUAGAUGAUAGGCAACUGAGAUGCACAAUAUUGCCAUUUUCUCUUGGCCUUUUUUUAACAGUAUUGUGUGGUUAGAGCUGGUGGAAAAGAUUCAAUUGCAAAAAGAAAAUGUGAAAAUACAUAGAUUUUUUUUUAAUUCCAAACUUAAAUUUAAUGAAAAUGUAGUUAUUGCUUUCUUUAUUUAUUUCAAAUAGCUCUUUCAUGUGUUGGGACAAAGGGGCAUUGUAUUAAUUGUGAAGUGUGAAAUGUUUUUCUUGUUUGCUUGCAACAACAACUGGGAAUACAUGGAUUUGCCUAUUCAUGCUUCAUUGUUAUGACAACAUUUUUUCACAAAGUAUUUGAAAGCCAGAGCUAUGAAAGGAAUAAAGUUGGCUAUAAAUCUG